AAUCAACGCUGGCGGCGUGCUUAACACAUGCAAGUCGAUCGGUAACAGGUGUAGCAAUACAUGCUGACGAGAGGCGGACGGGUGAGUAAUGCUUGGGAAUCUGCCUAUUAGUGGGGGACAACCCGGGGAAACUCGGGCUAAUACCGCAUACGCUCUACGGAGGAAAGCCGGGGACCGCAAGGCCUGGCGCUAAUAGAUGAGCCCAAGUCGGAUUAGCUAGUUGGUAGGGUAACGGCCUACCAAGGCGACAAUCCGUAGCUGGUCUGAGAGGACGACCAGCCACACCGGAACUGAGACACGGUCCGGACUCCUACGGGAGGCAGCAGUGGGGAAUAUUGGACAAUGGGGGCAACCCUGAUCCAGCGACGCCGCGUGGGUGAAGAAGGCCUGCGGGUUGUAAAGCCCUUUCGGUGGGAAGAAAGUCUCGACCUAAUACGUCGGGACCUUGACGUAACCACUAAAGAAGCACCGGCUAACUCUGUGCCAGCCGCCGCCGU
rnacentral:rRNA from 1 species